rnacentral:rRNA from 1 species
CGGAUUGCAGGCUGCAACUCGCCUGCAUGAAGCCGGAAUCGCUAGUAAUCGCGGAUCAGCACGCCGCGGUGAAUACGUUCCCGGGCCUUGUACACACCGCCCGUCACACCACGAGAGUUUGUAACACCCGAAGUCGGUGAGGUAACCUUUUGGAGCCAGCCGCCUAAGGUGGGAUAGAUGAUUGGGGUGAAGUCGUAACAAGGUAGCCGUAUCGGAAGGUGCGGCUGGAUCACCUCCUUUCUAAGGAA